ensembl:rRNA 5S_rRNA 5S ribosomal RNA
GCUUACGGCCACACCGCCUGGUUCACGCCCGAUCUCGUUUGAUCUCGGAAGCUAAGAUAGGAUGGGCCUGGUUAGUACUUGGAUGGGAGACCGCCUAGGAAUACCAGGUGCUGUAAGGC